GCCGAGCGGUAUUUGUUCUUCGGAACAGAGAGAGCGGCGUACGGGUGCGGAACACGUGUGCAACCUGCCUUUAUCAGGGGGAUAGCCUUUCGAAAGGAAGAUUAAUACCCCAUAAUAUAUUGAAUGGCAUCAUUUGAUAUUGAAAACUCCGGUGGAUAGAGAUGGGCACGCGCAAGAUUAGAUAGUUGGUAGGGUAACGGCCUACCAAGUCUACGAUCUUUAGGGGGCCUGAGAGGGUGAUCCCCCACACUGGUACUGAGACACGGACCAGACUCCUACGGGAGGCAGCAGUGAGGAAUAUUGGACAAUGGGUGAGAGCCUGAUCCAGCCAUCCCGCGUGAAGGACGACGGCCCUAUGGGUUGUAAACUUCUUUUGUAUAGGGAUAAACCUUUCCACGUGUGGAAAGCUGAAGGUACUAUACGAAUAAGCACCGGCUAACUCCGUGCCAGCAGCCGCGGUAAUACGGAGGGUGCAAGCGUUAUCCGGAUUUAUUGGGUUUAAAGGGUCCGUAGGCGGAUCUGUAAGUCAGUGGUGAAAUCUCACAGCUUAACUGUGAAACUGCCAUUGAUACUGCAGGUCUUGAGUGUUGUUGAAGUAGCUGGAAUAAGUAGUGUAGCGGUGAAAUGCAUAGAUAUUACUUAGAACACCAAUUGCGAAGGCAGGUUACUAAGCAACAACUGACGCUGAUGGACGAAAGCGUGGGGAGCGAACAGGAUUAGAUACCCUGGUAGUCCACGCCGUAAACGAUGCUAACUCGUUUUUGGUUUUUCGGAAUCAGAGACUAAGCGAAAGUGAUAAGUUAGCCACCUGGGGAGUACGAACGCAAGUUUGAAACUCAAAGGAAUUGACGGGGGCCCGCACAAGCGGUGGAUUAUGUGGUUUAAUUCGAUGAUACGCGAGGAACCUUACCAAGGCUUAAAUGGGAAAUGACAGGUUUAGAAAUAGACUUUUCUUCGGACAUUUUUCAAGGUGCUGCAUGGUUGUCGUCAGCUCGUGCCGUGAGGUGUUAGGUUAAGUCCUGCAACGAGCGCAACCCCUGUCACUAGUUGCCAUCAUUAAGUUGGGGACUCUAGUGAGACUGCCUACGCAAGUAGAGAGGAAGGUGGGGAUGACGUCAAAUCAUC
rnacentral:rRNA from 1 species